CAUUAUUCGCUGAAAAAGAAAAGCGCAUUACACACAGGCACGUACACACAUGCGUCGUCGUGACUGGUGCGGCGUGUGCCCACCAGCGGCUACGCUGCACGCGUUGGCUCGCCGGUACUCGGAGUACCGCUCGUCGUACACGGGCGCGCGCAACGCUCCCUGGGCCGCCCCGGAGGCGGCGCCGGCCUACCCGUCGGCCCGCUCGCCGUUUCCCUUGGAGAGGCCGCGUUUUCGUAAGACGCAUAUUGAGUGGAUGCUGCACCACGGCCACGGCGACCGCUACGGCAAGUACGGCCCGUCACGCGAAAUUGCGGACUUCGAGUACGCUGAUGGCACCCCGUCGAGCAUUAGCGGCAAGCGGUUCGCCCUCAAGCAUCACCAGGACCACCUGUUGGUGCAGCUCAUCCGAUCCGCGGCGAUAGUGGAGCGCUUCGAAGAGGAGGAGCUUCUGCCACGUAUUCCAGGCACGCCAGAGCAGCGCAGCUGGGACCCAGAGAUUCCGCUGUUCCUCGAGGACGUGGACGAGUUUGGCCGCCCACCGCGACCCGUGGCAGGUGACAUGAUCGCGCGCGUUAUCGAGGAGCGCUUCGCACAGGAGAGCGGCCGCACGCCGGUCAACUUAGCGAACAGGCACGCUGGCGAGGUGCUGGAGCCAAACACGAUGUUUGCCACGUACGACCCCGCUGCCUUUGUCUCCGAUGCCAUAAAGAAAGAUGUGCGGCGACCCUUCUGGUCGCGUCGCCGGUGGGCGCUGAGCGACAACUUCAUGGUGCCGAUGAGUCCCAAGCCGAAGAACACCAUCAAGGACGAGUGAGCAGCGACACGCUUACAUGCGCAGCAUUCGUGUGCUUGCAUGUGUAUGCGCGUGUCGGUGACGCUGUUGCCGAAAGAUGGGCUGUGAGGAGAGAGUUGGAGGAGGCCGGUAUGGGCAAUGUGGGAUCAGCGAGGGCCGUGCAGCACACUCGCGUCGCUCGCUGUCUACGCAUGCAUGUGCACAGGGAUAGCUGCGGUGCACUAUGGUACAUCAGUCGCCCCCUAUCUCACCUCACAACUAACCAUUCUCCACUUACUUGCCUCUGAUCUUGUGAUCCGUUGAGCCGAACCUCGCGCGCCUGCUCGGAUGCGGCGCGGGGGGGGACGUUGUAUCUCCUUCUGUCGUUUGGGCGCACUCUGGUAUGUCUGGACUGUGUGCGUGUUCGUGUGUCCGCGCUGCUCGUCUCCCGUCACCUUGCCGCAGCCUCGAGACGGAUAAACACACACAAUGUGUGCGCACAUGGCAUUUUCUUACAGUUCAGUUAAGCUUCAAGGGUAGCAGCAUUGGAACGUCCGCAGCACUGCGGGACUGCUCGUGGGUGUCCGUGCGGAUUGCCGAUGCCUUGGAAGAUGCGAACCAUCCCUCGCUCAGGCGUGCUGGAUGCAGCACGCCUGAGCGAGGGAGGCGAAGCGCACAGCGCCAACAUACAUGUAUGCGUCUGCGCGCACCGCGUCCGCUUCC
rnacentral:misc_RNA from 1 species